rnacentral:tRNA from 36 species
GGAGGGGUGUCCGAGUGGUCGAAGGAGCACGCCUGGAAAGUGUGUAAGCCGCAAGGCUUCGAGGGUUCGAAUCCCUCCCCCUCCGCCA